rnacentral:rRNA from 1 species
UACGUAGGGAGCAAGCGUUGUCCGGAUUUAUUGGGCGUAAAGCGCUCGCAGGUGGUUCGAUGCGUCGUGCGUGAAAGACCCCGGCUCAACUGGGGGGUGUCGUGCGAUACGGUCGGACUGGAGGCCAGUAGGGGGAUGCGGAAUUCCGGGUGUAGUGGUGGAAUGCGUAGAGAUCCGGAGGAACACCAGCGGCGAAGGCGGCAUCCUGGACUGGUCCUGACACUCAUGAGCGAAAGCGUGGGGAGCGAUCCGG